UUGGUUGAGUAACUAAUUCAGAACAAAUCAAGCAUCUCAAAAUUUGAGUUCUCGCACUUUACUCCCUUCUUCUUCCCUUAGGUUCCCUGCGUCGUCCUCUAAAAAAAGAACCAUUCCCUACGUCGCCCAAAAAGCUUCCUCGUCGAUCGUACUGGCCUCCUUGCCAGUCGCCGAUGGGUCUCUUUCCCGCCACCUCUCCCGUCGCCACCUGUUAGCUUGCUCGGCCGGUGGUUUCAAGGGAAAACUUAGCUUGCUCGCGUCGGUGGUUCUAAGAAAGAAAGUUGCUCGCGUCUUGUUCUCCGUCAACCUCCUCGCAGCCCUUCUUUUAGGAAAUUGCGGAAAUGGGAGCCUUUGCAUACGUCAUGGACAAAGAUGUGGCUUUCAGGAAUUCAUUUAAUGAUGGAUGGGAACGCAUAUUGUCAACGCAUCCUAUACCAUUUUACUACUGCAUAGGUAUAUAUGCCUCAUUUUCCAUCUUUACGAUGUAUUCAUAAAAAUUGUAACAAGAAGGGGAGGGUAGGCAUUGUUUUGGGCCUCUGCCCGUGUGAGGAUAAGUUUGUCACGACUUCUGGGAUGGUAACUAAUCUGCCAAUAUAUCCGUUUUCCUUCAAUCGUUUAUCAGGAGAUUCAAAGGAAAAUGACCAGCAUCUAGAAUAUCCCUUUUAUCCUCAUAAAAUGUCCAGUGAUCCCGUUGAUAAUGGUCAAGUUAAGGAUUGUUAUCAUCUCGAUGAGAAAAAGAACACUGGAGUAAGGAUCAAGUGGGAUCUUGGGCGUACAAGUUAUAGUGAUUGUGAAGAAAUUGAUUCCAACGUGAGAGAACGAUAUUGAAUGAGUUAGAGCUGUUAGACACUAGGCUUGCUAAGUAGAGGUUUUCUCAUUACUGAAACUUUGGUGGAAGGAAAUGAAAAGGGUUUGGCUGAAGAAUUGGAUGGUUCUAAAAGGAUCUAUGAAACUUACAAGCAGGAUUUGCUUCUUGUUAAUAGUUGUAAUUAUAGUUUUGGAGCUCACAGUUAAAAAGAAGUGGUUAAAAGUACUGAAGAAGCUAGUAUUUAACCUAAGAGUCAUUCGUUAGAAGAACAGGUUUGUCACUACUCUUUUUUGUAGGGAAUAUGAGAAAGUCGUGCCUAAUAUAUUUUCUUUUAUUAUAGAAGCUACAGCUUUGUUCUUUUCA